rnacentral:rRNA from 1 species
CAGUGGGGAAUAGUUGCACAAUGGGGGAAACCCUGAUGCAGCCAUGCCGCGUGUGUGUAAGAAGGCCUUCGGGUUGUAAAGCACUUUCAGUAGGGAGGGAAGGUAGUGUAGUUAACACCUGCAUUAUUUGACGUUAACCUACAGAAGAAAGCACCGGCUAACUCCGUGCCAGCAGCCGCGGUAAUACGGAGGGUGCGAGCGUUAAUCGGAAUUACUGGGCGUAAAGCGCAUGCAGGCGGCCUGUUAAGUCAGAUGUGAAAGCCCGGGGCUCAACCUCGGAAUUGCAUUUGAAACUGGCAGACUAGAGUACUGUAGAGGGGGGUAGAAUUUCAGGUGUAGCGGUGAAAAUGCGUAGAGAUCUGAAGGAAUACCGGUGGCGAAGGCGGCCCCCUCGGACAGAUACUGACACUCAGAUGCGAAAAGCGUGGGGAGCAAACAGGAUUAGAUACCCUGGUAG